CCUACGGGAGGCAGCAGUGAGGGAUAUUGCGCAAUGGGCGAAAGCCUGACGCAGCGACGCCGCGUGGGCGAGGAAGGCCUUCGGGUUGUAAAGCCCUUUUGGCAGGGAAGAGCAAGGACUGUACCUGCAGAACAAGUCACGGCUAACUACGUGCCAGCAGCCGCGGUAAAACGUAGGUGGCGAGCGUUGUUCGGAAUUAUUGGGCGUAAAGCGCGUGUAGGCGGUUUGUUAAGUCUGAUGUGAAAGCCCCGGGCACAACCUGGGAAGUGCAUUGGAUACGGGCAGACUGGAGUACGGGAGAGGAGAGUGGAAUUCCCAGUGUAGGAGUGAAAUCCGUAGAUAUUGGGAGGAACACCGGUGGCGAAGGCGGCUCUCUGGACCGAUACUGACGCUGAGACGCGAAAGCGUGGGGAGCAAACAGGAUUAGAUCCCCCUGUAGU
rnacentral:rRNA from 1 species